rnacentral:rRNA from 1 species
CCCUUAGAUGUCCGGGGCUGCACGCGCGCUACACUGAAGGAAUCAGCGUGCUAAAACCAUUGUCGAAAGGCAUUGGUAAACCCAUUAAAAUCCUACGUGAUUGGGAUCGGGAAUUGCAAUUAUUUCCCUUGAACGAGGAAUUCCCAGUAAGUGUGGGUCAUAAGCUCGCGUUGAUUACGUCCCUGCCCUUUGUACACACCGCCCGUCGCUGCCGGGGACUGAGCCGUUUCGAGAAAAGCGGGGACUGCUGCUGUCGGGGCUUUCGGGCCUUGGCUUCGGUGGAAACCGCUUUAAUCGCAGUGGCUUGAACCGGGCAAAAGUCGUAACA